rnacentral:lncRNA from 1 species
CAUUUGCACAAUCUGUGUUAUAAACAGUCUGUCUGUGCAAUGCUAAAAAGCUCAUUUUAAGAGCAUAGUAUUGAACCACUAACCAAGGCAAACGCAUACAUUCUGGGAUACCGUGAGAUUACAGAAUCAGUCGGAGGGAAUUCUGGCACAGCAUUACAGUUUUGUGAGAACAGGAAGCACACCAUCGCACAACUUGUAAGAGAACAUACCAUCAAGCCUAUCAC